rnacentral:rRNA from 1 species
GGCUCCUUGAUUAUUUAAUAUAUAAGGAGUCGGACCUGCCCAGUGAAGUAGUUUUAAACGGCCGCGGUACUCUGACCGUGCAAAGGUAGCAUAAUCAUUUGCCCUAUAAUUGAGGGCUAGUAUGAAUGGUUUGACAAGAAUAAAGCUGUCUCUAUGUAAUUAUAUAGAAUUUUAUUUUUAGGUGAAGAAGCCUAAAUUGUAUUAAAAGACAAGAAGACCCUAUCGAGCUUUAAAGAAAUUAAUAAAGUAAUAAUAAAUAUUUAUAAAAUAAAAUUUAUUAAAAAUUUUGGUUGGGGCGACAAAGGAACAAACAAAGCUUCUUUUAAAAUAAUGAAACUUACAAGCAUUGAUCCAAAAAAUUUUGAUUAAAGAAAUUAGUUACCGUAGGGAUAACAGCAUUAUCUUUUUUGAGAGCUCAUAUCGAAAAAAAGGUUUGUGACCUCGAUGUUGGACCAGGAUAUCCCAAAGAUGCAGAAGUCUUUAAAGGUUGGUCUGUUCGACCAUUAAAAUCCU